CGACAGGCUAAUACUUAAAUUGUUGUUAACGAUAAUUAGAAUCAAGAUGUCGAAAACACCUUUAUUAUUAUUAUUAUCAAUUUUCUUGAUGAUUGGUCUCUAUUCUAGUGCAGUUGAAGGAUGUAUAGGCAACUGGUGCCAUCCUCAGCAAGGUUACAAAUGUUGUGAAGGUUAUGAGUGUAACAGUUAUUGGCUACAAGGCAGUUGCGUAACUCGGGCGGAAUAUGAAUAUUUAGCAAGGUCUCUGAGGCUAUAAAGAUGUAGAAAAAAUUGAUUAUGAUGUAUAGUUUGAUAGAAACAUACGAAAUGUGAGCCUAUAAACCCACUAAAGGUGGCUCUUUGUAAUAGUAAUAAUAAUUAGAGAAUUGAACAAAUUUAUUGGUGUUAUUACACAAUUUGUUGGUGUAAAAUUUAAUAGUAAGAGAUGGAAGAGGAAGGAUA